AUGGGCAUAACUAAAGACAACCAAAGGAGAAGUCUGGGAAGUGGUAAGAGGAAGGCGAACUGGUUUGACGCCCCAUGGCUGGAAGAACACAGUAGUGGGUGUCUUAGACCUCCCCCCCAACAGCAGGUGGGCCGACCUAACACAAAGGAGGGCCCGGGCUGGAGCAGGAAUCCCUCUAGCAACAGCCUCCCCCAGCACAAAGAGGCCCUGCUAAUAGUAAGCAGCAAGGGGAAACGCUCCUUCUCCCACCCAGACCCAGCGUUCCAGAGGGUGGGGGCACAACUGGCACCCUGCCAAGGUGGCCUCUGUGUCCUCAAUGGCCCGAGGCCCUUGGUGGCCAGGGUACCUGGUGCAGGUGAGGGUUCUCGCCAUAACCAGCACAUGCUCUCUGUCUCCACAGGCAGCAGAGACCCAGCACAAGCCCCGGGAAGCCUCGUUCUCCCCCAGGAAACCCCUUCCAGAGACCCCGCAUCCCAGCCUGUGGGUGAACCUCGGGAUACACAGGGGAUCGGUGUCUUUGAAGGACGUGACUGUGGGCUUCAGCCAGGAGGAGUGGCAGCACCUGACCCCACGCAGAGGACCCUGUACACAGAUGGGAUGCUUGAGAACUGCCACCACCUGGCUUCUGUGGGGUGUCCAGUUCCUCCAGCAGAUGUGAUCUUCAAGUUGGAGUGAGAAGAGCCAGGGAUGGAUGAGGAGAGAACUGCAGGUGAUCCCUGCGUAGGUGGGGAGAGAGGGAACUAAAACUCCAGUGAGCGAGUAAGAGGCUGGCCUUUCUCAGUGUGACCUCGGCUUUUUAAGACUCCAAGCAAGAGUAUCACAGAAAUCCCGUGACCCUCAGGUGCGUACCUCUCCCAGCAGCUGCCUCCCGGCUUGAGCAGCAGGUGACGCUCUCACUGCCGCCAGAGCUCACUUUGGGUCUUCUCACCAGGCUGUGCCUUUGUGGUCUGUCGCUGUCCCCCCAGCACCCCUAUUUUCCCUCAUUCAUGCUGUGAGUUUAGAUUCAUCCCUUUGUGCACCGAGGCCCCAAGGGAUCUACCUUCUUUCCAGAUUACUGUGUGAUACUCCUCGUCCUCAGUCCCUUUUCAUCUCUGUCAAAGUGACCCUCUUACCACUUGCCAUCCUCAACUCUUACACCUGUUGUGACUUUGUUAAAAUAACAUCUGUAAAGUAGAACCCCAGACUGUACAGUGGUGAGCUGCAUUCAACCAAGGCCACAAAGGAAUCUAAAUGGAGACAUUUACUACUCACAAGCCUUGGAGGAGACACACACAGACCCUGAGGGGCCUUGCUGUGUGGACAAGGCAGGAUGCAGGCAGAGCCAGCACAACAGAACCUGGGGUUCAUGCCUUUUUAGGGUCUGUGAGUGCUGUGGGGUUUCUGGGUUAGGGCUGGCUUUGGUAAGUUUUGGGGAGGAAGGGAGUUCUGAUGUAAGCGGUAUGUAAGGGGAAGGCUCCGUGAGGCAGGGGAGACUGCUUAUCACAGGGCUGAUGAGGAAAUCAUAUCGGAAACUUACAAUUAUUUGUGACGCAGCCGGCUGUUAUUUAGGGCACACACUAGAAGGAGGUGCAAGCAUCACUUCAAGGCUUCUGCAGGCCAUUUGGCUGGAAAUGGGUUGCUGACACAGACAUAUUACAGAGCAGUUUAGCCAAAUUCUCAACAAUAACAAUACAAAAACUAAUUUAAGAUGUAAACUAAUGUGUUUGAAAGUAAAAGUCUUGGGGCGCCUGGGUGGCUCAGUCGUUAAGCAUCUGCCUUCAGCUCAGGGCGUGAUCCCAGGGUCCUGGGAUCGAGCCCCAUGUCGGGCUCCCUGCUCCACUGGGAGCCUGCUUCUUCCUCUCCCACUCCCCCUGCUUGUGUUCCCUCUCUCGCUGGCUGUCUCUCUCUGUCAAAUAAAUAAAUAAAAUCUUAAAAAAAAAAAAAAAAAGAAGCAGCAUUCCCCAUAACACCAGACACUAGAGGAGGAUAGCCACAAUCACCAUGACUACUGAGGAUUGUCCUGGAGGUUCCAGACGUCAUUGUGAGACCAACCAACAAAACAAAACCAAACCAGAAACAAAGGAUUGAAAAUAAGGAAAUAAAACACUCAAGGUUCACAGAAAUAAAGGUCCACAGAGUAUACAGACAAUUAGGCUGAACAAGAGUUUAGCAAGGUUGCUAGGUAAUGAUGGACUGACUACACAGUGGAGAGUACCUUCAGCUAAGCCUCUCUGAGAAACAAACUCUCUCCCAGAGAUGGUGCAGGAUGGCAUUAAGCUCAAGACCAUCAAGUGGGCCCCACACUAGAAGUGUGGACCUCUGACUUUGUGCUGGCCUUGAGACAGGGAAACUAAAGGGACCCCAUGAAGAGCUGCUUUUUUGCUCCCUUUCCUGCUUCUUUUCUUGCUAGGACCUGCACCCCCCCUUACACACGCCUUAUAGUACAGAUAAUGUGUGUCGUCCUUAUAAAGGUCAAAGAGUUAAUGAUUUCUUUAACUCCCAGCACAACAGAGAACACCUGAGGAGUGACCAGUCGGGGUCAUCAUGCCAAGACCCCUGGCUCCAAGGCAUAGGUGACUUACGGAGAACACCUAAACACUCGUUUUCGUUGCUGGAUGCGAGAGGACACGUGCAUCAGACCACAACCCUCAAUAAAAACCCCAGACACCAAGCAAAGAUGAGACUCACUCUUCCUCUCAAGCCUCCCGGACCCUCUGUCUGUACCUGUUCUCUUUCUAGGUCUUCCACAAACUCUGCUCUCACCUCCUCAACUCACAUUUUAUUUCUACCCUGCCCAAAGCCAAGCGCCCUCUUGGCAGGUCCUUGGACCCAGCCAGGCUUCGUCAGCUUGGGCUUUGCUGCCCCACCAACCCACGCAAAGCUGGGCACCUUGUUACACCUCACAAGGGCUCCAUGUUCAAACUAGAAUUACUAUAUCCCAGUUUACUUCAGCAUCAGUCCACCUCCAAGGUAGAAACCCAAGAAAACCAUCUUUCUGCAGUCUCAGCUCCUUUAGCAAGGAAUACUCCCCAUUUCUCUCCAGGAGUCCUUCUCUGCUCCUAUAGUGGGUGGAUGUUCUCCCGAAACAGUGGGGACAUUUGCUAGGAUUUUGCUGCUGGACAUGUCUGUGUCUUUGGUGGGAGAACCAGAGGAACUGGAAGGCUUUGUUCAGAGACAUGAUGCUCUAUUUGGACAUUUGAGUUGUCGUUUCCUACUGUUCAGUGAGACUGACUCCUUGAGGAACAAGCAUAAUCAACAAUGAUUUAAUCUUUCUUUGUGGCUCCAAAGGUCACCUCUUCAUAUUGACUGUAGACCAAACAGCAAGUUUCUUUGAAGGCUUGUCUCCUUUCUGUUCUUGUUCUCCUUCCUUUCUUUUGACCUAAUACAACUAGGAAUAUCUAUAUGACUCUACCCAUUAUUCUAGUAAUUUUUCUUUUUUUUUUUAAUUUUUAAAUUUUUUUAAAGAUUUUAUUUAUUGGAGGGAGGGAGGGAGAGCGCGUGCACAUGCACAUGAGCAGGGGGAGGGGGAGGGGCAGAGGGAGAGGGAGAAGCAGACUGCCCACUGAGCAGGGAGCCCAACACAGGACUUGAUUCCAGGACCCUGGGAUCAUGACCUGAGCCGAAGUCAGAUGCUUAAUUGACUGAGCCACCCAGGCGCCACAAAACAUCUUUUUUCUGUAACCUUUUCUACUUUGUAAAUUUAUUGGUAUGCCUGUGUAUUUGUGUGUUUUACCAUGCAUAUAUCAUUCGAAAGGAUAAAUUAAUUUAAAAUAUUUGGCCAAUCUAAUGGGUUGCUCUAAUGGUAGCUCUAACUGCAUUUUUUCCCAACAAUAUCCUAUUAUUCUUUAACACUGAUUAUUUUACACAUAAGCCAUAAUAAAAUCCGCAGGACACUCUCCCCAACCCCACCUCUGGCAUCCAGAGUGGUUUUUAAAAGAGAAACAGAUCUGUUUACUCCCCUGCUUUAAAACUCUCCAGUGGCUUCCCACAGUCACCCUGCCGCCAUCUUCCUCACUGCACUUACUACAGAAAACCACCUUCCUCACCUGUCUGUAUUUAUACAUACUGCCUGUCACCGACUCCAUAACAUGGUAUCUUUACCUGGAUCACUGGAUAUUAUUACACACAGGUGCACAAUAAUUCCUGAAUAAAAGAGUCUGAGUAAAGGAAUGCAAGGAAGACAUGUUUCUGUUCAGUGGCCUAAGCGAAGAUGCCAUAUAGCCUCCGACUCAGACACAGCUCCUAGUUCACUCAGCUAUCCACAAGAGAAUGACUGUGAUCAAAUUAUCAGAAAUUAAUUAAUAUAAAAGUUGACACCUCAAUUCAGUAAAAAGUGGAUGACAUUACAAUCAUCCCGUGUGAAGAAGAAAAUAAAAUUACAUGGAGAAAAUAUAACUUAAUAGCUAACAUCUGUUGAGCAAUCAAUCUGUGCCACAGUCGUGUAUUAACUCACUUAAUUCUCCCAGUGGAGACACACAGUGCUCUGAAGAAAGUUGCGCAGGGUCACCAGGGUACUAAAUGGUGGCGCAAGAGCUAAAAAUUCAGGAGGCAUCUUGAAUGUGGUGAUGGUUACACAAAAUGCUUAAAUUCUACACCAAAAAGAGAUUAUUUUAUUGAGUGUCAAUUAAAAGUAACUUUCUAAAAAUUCACAGGGCAAUGAUUAUGAGACUGCAGACUAUUUAAAGGGAGACAUGACUUAGCACCAAGCACAUGAAUGUACUAUACUAUCAACUAUUAAAAUUUCCACCUGUGAUCAGGGUACCACGAGGUCUCUACCACCUGAGCCCCGAGAGUGACCACCCCCCAUCAGUUCGCCACUGACCUCACCAGAUCCUCAUCUCUAAACUUCAGGACCCAAAUGCGCAGCCACGGACCAACGUUACUAGCCCACAGAGUCCGCGUCCCUGGCCCGACGGUCACGCCGCCAGCGAGCACACAGCCCCGCGUGCCGGUCCCACGCCGGACCCCUGAACCUCAGGGUCACAACCAUCCUCACUGAGCCCACGCGCGCGAACGCUGACCUCGCAGGUGUCGCAUCACGAGCCGGGGCACCGCGCCACGAACCCAGCCAUCACUGACAGACCAGUCAAACGCUCCGGCCGCAGGUUUCUGGGCUCGCGGAGACACCGGCGACCGCACACACGCCGUUCUAGAGCAACUUCCGCCCGUGGAACCGCCCCCGGCUCCGGCCCCGGAACUACGGUGGCCGCGAGGGGGGGGCUGCGCACUCCUGGCUGGACCGCGACCGGCGCCCGCCAUCCGCGAACCUGGGCCCACUGUCGCCGGCCGCCGCGCGCUUCGCGGGGACCCGGGAUGCUCGCGGGCAGAUUCGGUCCGCAGGUGGGCAG
ensembl:lncRNA